AGUGAACGCUGGCGGUAGGCCUAACACAUGCAAGUCGAACGGCAGCACAGUAAGAGCUUGCUCUUACGGGUGGCGAGUGGCGGACGGGUGAGGAAUACAUCGGAAUCUACUUUUUCGUGGGGGAUAACGUAGGGAAACUUACGCUAAUACCGCAUACGACCUACGGGUGAAAGCAGGGGAUCUUCGGACCUUGCGCGAUUGAAUGAGCCGAUGUCGGAUUAGCUAGUUGGCGGGGUAAAGGCCCACCAAGGCGACGACCCGUAGCUGGUCUGAGAGGAUGAUCAGCCACACUGGAACUGAGACACGGUCCAGACUCCUACGGGAGGCAGCAGUGGGGAAUAUUGGACGAUGGGCGCAAGCCUGAUCCAGCCAUACCGCGUGGGUGAAGAAGGCCUUCGGGUUGUAAAGCCCUUUUGUUGGGAAAGAAAAGCAGCAGGUUAAUACCCCGCUGUUCUGACGGUACCCAAAGAAUAAGCACCGGCUAACUUCGUG
rnacentral:rRNA from 1 species